rnacentral:rRNA from 1 species
UACAGAGGUGGCAAGCGUUGUUCGGAAUUACUGGGCGUAAAGGGCGCGUAGGCGGCCUUCUAAGUCAGACGUGAAAUCCCCCGGCUUAACCUGGGAACUGCGUCUGAUACUGGGAGGCUAGAGUAUGGGAGAGGGAUGUAGAAUUCCAGGUGUAGCGGUGAAAUGCGUAGAUAUCUGGAGGAAUACCGGUGGCGAAGGCGGCAUCCUGGACCGGCAUUGACGCUGAGGCGCGAAAGCCAGGGAGCAAAGCGGG